rnacentral:sRNA from 1 species
AUGUCCUCUCCGCUGUCAAUUCCACCAUUUUUUAUGAUGAACUCGAAGGCGUAGUCCAUGAGACCACCAUUGCAUCCUUCAUUGUAUGUUGACUAAUUCCUAGCAAAAAUCUCAGAGAGCAGCACCAUCAAUGUUUUACGUUUCCGUUACUCUCUUCGAGAUUCCAAAACGCUCAAUAAAAACCCUUGUGAGAAACCCCAGUUCACCAGUCAUCAGUCGAAGCCGGCAUUGGCUGUUGGGACUUCUGCACGGGCGCCGAGCAGCUCCGCUACAAGCUCUGCACCUCUCCGCCUCGCGGUCUCAUCUGCGUAGGCGAGCGGUUCCUCGCCUCCUCUCAGCUUCUCGAGUCUUCUUCCUCCUCUGGCUCUGUCCUGGCCCUGGUCCAAGCCGCAAGUUCAUGUCUAGAGCUUUCCAAAAGAACCGAUCAAUCUGCUCGCUGUGAACAGCGAAGGCACAUAGAUUGUUGGCAGAGGCUCGCCGGGGAAUAUCUACUUGUGGGAGGUUAUUUUUCCUAAUCAUUUUUCUUUGUCUUCUUGGAUUUUCGUAGCAUGUAUUCUUAUAAGUUCCUCAAUAUCUAUGACAUGUCUUUUGGCUAUGGCCCUAUUAUGUACUGAUGCAUUUGUAUUCGUCUCCAAUAAACAAAAAAGCAAUGCAUUCUUGAAACCGCAUGUGUAUUAUAGUUUUGAUUUGGGUGUACAUUUCUUAGGUUUGGACCGUAGGAAGUGGGAGAUUAUUGAGAAAUCUUGUUUUCCCUACUAUAUUCCACAAAGCUGUUACUUGCAUAACAUAUGGUAUUUCUGGAAAUUAUUUGAAUUCUGGAUCAGAAGGUGGCAUGGUUCGAGUUUGGGAUGCUAGAACUCAUAACAUUGUUCACGUGUUCAAACAUGCAAAUCGCUAUCUCAAUGCUAUUUGAAUUAUUUCCUUCCCCGGGUUUAUGCAAAUUUGAUGACAUUGAAGCAAAUUUGAUGUGAAUUAGUGUACCACUGUUUCAUAAUACAGUUUAUAUUCGAAUAUCUCAGUUGUUUAUGUUCAAUCUGCCAAACUUUACUAAUCUGUUUAGUAAAAAGGUCGUACCCAGUGCACAAGGCU